UACGUAGGGUGCAAGCGUUGUCCGGAAUUAUUGGGCGUAAAGAGCUCGUAGGCGGUUUGUUGCGUCGGCUGUGAAAUCCCGAGGCUCAACCUCGGGUCUGCAGUCGAUACGAGCAAACUAGAGUGUUGCAGGGGAGACUGGAAUUCCUGGUGUAGCGGUGAAAUGCGCAGAUAUCAGGAGGAACACCGGUGGCGAAAGCGACUCUCUGGACGGCAACUGACGCUGAGGCACGAAAGCGUGGGGAGCAAACAGG
rnacentral:rRNA from 1 species